UUCCCCCACGCCGUCCCGGGACUCGCAGCCUCCGCCGCGCAUGGGGCCGGUUCUGGGGGAGGGAAUGUAAACAAAUCGGGGUUUUAUAGUUACCUCACACUCGAGUGCCGUGUGCAUCUCCUCUCCGCUCGGUACCAAACCCCGGCUGCACCAAAUCGUGUAUUCAUCAAAGCCGGCUGCGCUAAAUGCGUCGCGGAAGCCAGAGCGUCAGACGCCGCGCUACGCUAGCAGCGUACUAGGCCCACUCAGGUCCCUGCGCAGCCGCACCCCGUCUGCCUAUGGGUGCUACGCUACGGGCGUACACGCACCACCCAGUCAUUCACUUCGGAAACGCCGCCUGCGUAAGGGAAUUGCACCACUCGCGGAUUCCACACGGAUGGUCAGAGCAAUAGAAAUUCGAGUCUACGCAAAUUGCGGAGCCCCGUGGCUCCGCGCUAGUUUUGUUCCAAGAAAGGACACUGUGGGGGAGUUGGGGCAGCUUCUAACGCAUGCGUGGAGUGCCCUUCACCACUUGCUUUUUCUCCCAGUGUUACAGAUCGGUUCCUGAGGCCUUGGGCAGGCGAAUGAGAAAUGGAAGAUCCUGGAGCAAUCACUUUGGCCAAAAGAUACCAUAUACUUCAGCCUGGAGUUUGAAACUCUAGUUCUGGAUCUGAUGCCAGAGAAAUGUAAAAGGUACAUCCCAUUCCUGUUCCUUGGGGCCUGUGGCACUGUCUAACAUCUAAUGAGUUCUCAAAAUUGUCUUAUUAUAUUUCCUGGGAGCAUCAAGGAAGAGGAGCAGAAGAAAGAGACAGAGUCUUGCUGUUUUGCCUAGGCUGGCCUGGAACUCCUGGGCUCAGUGGAUCCUCCUGUCUCAGCCAGGACUACACAUGUGUGAACUGGUGACUCUUAAAUCUCACCACACCCUUGUCACUCCCCUAAAGUUAUGAUCAUUUAUUGGCAGAACUAGUUGGAUCCUGAUGAAGCUCACGUCCAAUCCACUCUCCACAAUGAAAGUCAGAGCCAUCAGUAACUUGUUGAGUUACUGUCAUGUAUAAAACUUCCAAAGCUUCCCACAGCCCGUGGGUUAAAUAAUUUACCUGACAAACAGUGUUUGAUCUAAUCUGAUUCCAUAUUAUCUCUGUGAAUUUACAUCUCAUUACUCUAGAAUUAUGCUUUCCAAAAUAUGGCAGCCACAAGUCACAAGUGGUUGUUUAACACUUGAAGAGUGGAGAGUCUAAAUUGAGAUGGUGAUUUAAAUGUAAAACACACAAUGGAUUCCUAGAAUCUAGUGCAAAAUUAUAAAAACAUCAGUAAUAAUUUUUCAUACUGAUUAUAUGCUGAGAUUAUAUGAUUUUAAAUAUAUUGGGCUAAAUAAAAAUAUUAAAAUUUCA